GGGCGCGGCCCGGGGCGUCUCUGCGCUACGUGCGGAAACGUGAAGGUGGCCUCUCGGUUACAAACGAGCAAAGGACAAAAGACUGGAGUGGUGCUAGCCCGGGCUGCUGCAGCAACCUCACUGCGGCAACAACACGUAUGAAACCUGGAACAGAUCAAAUAACUUCAGGGCUCCAGAACGCUACAAGGCCAAGCAAGAGAGGACCUCUGACAUGGAGCUGAAGAGCCAGGUGGCAAGAGGAAGAGGGAGAGGAAAUCUCUUCGGUGUGUGUCUGCGAGCACAUGCAUACCCACACUAAGUCAACCUGCUCUAUUUAUGUAGGUUGGAAGAAAUUAGACAACUUUCUCCCACGGUAAAAAAGGAAAAUACCCACUCUGUACCAUCUGCAGCCAUGCUCAGUCAUAAAGAAUUGACAAGUUAUUUGUUCUUUGCUUUCAGUACCCGAGGAACCUGGCAGUCUUUUAUGACAUUUUCUGGAGCUGAGGCUUCAACCCAG